GACGAACGCUGGCGGCGUGCCUAAUACAUGCAAGUCGAACGCAGUGGGGACGGGUGAGUAACACGUGGCUAACCUCCCAUCAGAGGGGAUAACACUUGGAAACUGGUGCUAAACCGAUACUGAUGUAGGGACCCGCGGUGCAUUAGCUAGUUGGUGAGGUAACGGCUCACCAAGGCCACGAUGCAUAGCCGACCUGAGAGGGUGAUCGGCCACACUGGAACUGAGACACGGCCCAGACUCCUACGGGAGGCAGCAGUAGGGAAUCUUGGGCAAUGGACGAAAGUCUGAUGGAGCAACGCCGCGUGAAUGAAGAAGGUUUUCGGGUCGUAAAACUCUGUUGGUGGUGAAGCGGUACUCAACCAGAAAGUAACGGCUAACUACGUGCCAGCCGCCGCGGUAAUUC
rnacentral:rRNA from 1 species